AUUUUAUGAGGAUAACAGGCUUCAGACUGAUCUUGAAUUUGGAGACCGAUGAGACCUAAAUUUGCAAAUAUGAAUGUC